rnacentral:lncRNA from 1 species
AAGUGUUUCCACUGACUGUUAAGGCAAGAGGGGGCAUGUGUUGUCAGAGAAACUCUUGCUGGAAGGGUCAGGUUCCUAGGCUACCCACAAAGGAUUCUGCCCCCAACACAGCCGCACCAAUGACAAGCCAACAUUGGUGCAAAGAGCUGCCGUGAACCACAGCCUAAAUCUUUGUCUUAAUGGGAAAACAUAUGAGGUCAGAAGUCAAGAAACUGGGGACAUCUUGACCUGACCCCUCCCCACAAAGGUGGCCACAGGAGCCCAACCACCCCGGCAGUCUGAGUGAGACACGGGCUGCAGCAACCCACCUGCCCCUGAGCAGCCCCUUGUGAGUGAGCCCAGAGGCCUGAACCAGGAUCUUCAAGGAUCGCCCUGCCCUCAUUAAUGGUGGCUCUUGCUAUCCGUCCCCAUCCCACCCACGGUGUGCCAGGACCCGACCGACCUCUCAAAGGCCACAUUACGAGUGUCCAGGUGGGUGGAGACGAUAGGAGAGGUGAGGCGACUGGCCACAUGCUCCUCGCUGGGCCGCAUGGCGGCCAGCAGUGUUUCGGGCUCCUGCAGAGUGAGCCCCAGUGUCUCCACAUGCACCACCUGCCGGUCAUGGUCCACUUCCAUCACCAGGGCUCC